AAUGUACUUUCUCCGUCUCAAAAUUCUUGUGUUAGGUUUGUCUAAAAGUAGAUAUAUCUAAAUAUUAAAACGUGACUAGAUACAUUCAUAUCUAGACAAAUAUAAAACAAGAAUUUUGGGACGAAAGGAGUAUUAC
rfam:Hordeum vulgare subsp. vulgare, WGS project CAJW01000000 data, contig: morex_contig_1575953